AGAGUUUGAUCCUGGCUCAGGAUGAACGCUAGCGGUAGGCUUAACACAUGCAAGUCGAGGGGUAACAGGGGUUUCGGCCCGCUGACGACCGGCGCACGGGUGAGUAACACGUAUGCAACCUACCUUUAACUGGAGCAUAGCUCCGAGAAAUCGGAAUUAAUACUCCAUAAUAUCUAUUUAUCGCAUGAUUUUUAGAUUAAAGCUUCGGCGGUUAAAGAUGGGCAUGCGGGACAUUAGUUUGUUGGUGAGGUAACGGCUCACCAAGACUACGAUGUCUAUGGGGUCUUAAAGGAUGGUCCCACACACUGGUACUGAGACACGGACCAGACUCCUACGGGAGGCAGCAGUGAGGAAUAUUGGGCAAUGGACGAAAGUCUGACCCAGCCAUACCGCGUGCAGGAUGACGGCCCUAUGGGUUGUAAACUGCUUUUGUACGAGAAGAAAAAUCCCUACGUGUAGGGAACUGACGGUAUCGUACGAAUAAGGAUCGGCUAACUCCGUGCCAGCAGCCGCGGUAAUACGGAGGAUCCAGGCGUUAUCCGGAUUUAUUAGGUCUAAAGGGUGCGUAGGCGGAAGAAUAAGUCAGUGGUGAAAUCCUGCAGCUCAACUGUAGAACUGCCAUUGAUACUGUUUUUCUUGAGUAUAGUUGAGGUGGGCGGAAUGUGUCAUGUAGCGGUGAAAUGCUUAGAUAUGACACAGAACACCAAUUGCGUAGGCAGCUCACUAAACUAUCACUGACGCUGAGGCACGAAAGCGUGGGGAGCGAACAGGAUUAGAUACCCUGGUAGUCCACGCCGUAAACGAUGAUUACUCGUUGUGUGCGAUAUACAGUACGCGACUAAACGAAAGUAUUAAGUAAUCCACCUGGGGAGUACGUCGGCAACGAUGAAACUCAAAGGAAUUGACGGGGGCCCGCACAAGCGGAGGAACAUGUGGUUUAAUUCGAUGAUACGCGAGGAACCUUACCUGGGCUUAAAUGCAGAGUGAUUAGUGCCGAAAGGUGCUUUCCCUUCGGGGCAAACUGCAAGGUGCUGCAUGGUUGUCGUCAGCUCGUGCCGUGAGGUGUCGGGUUAAGUCCCAUAACGAGCGCAACCCCUAUCGUUAGUUACUAACAGGUAAUGCUGAGGACUCUAGCGAAACUGCCGGUGUAAACCGUGAGGAAGGUGGGGAUGACGUCAAAUCAGCACGGCCCUUACGUCCAGCCUACACACGUGUUACAAUGGCUGGUACAGUGGGCAGCUACUUGGCAACAAGAUGCUAAUCUCAAAAACCAGUCUCAGUUCGGAUCGAAGUCUGCAACUCGACUUCGUGAAGUUGGAUUCGCUAGUAAUCGUAUAUCAGCAAUGAUACGGUGAAUACGUUCCCGGGCCUUGUACACACCGCCCGUCAAGCCAUGGAAGCUGGGGGUACCUGAAGUCCGUAACCGUAAGGAGCGGCCUAGGGUAAAACUAGUAAC
rnacentral:rRNA from 1 species